rnacentral:rRNA from 1 species
GACGAACGCUGGCGGCGUGCCUAACACAUGCAAGUCGAGCGAGAGCCGGAUGUCAGCUUUAAAAGGUUGGCAUUAGGUGAAAGCGGCGAACGGGUGAGUAACGCGUGGGCAACCUACCCUGUACAGCGGGAUAACAUUGGGAAACCGGUGCUAAUACCGCAUGAAGCAUACGAGUGGCAUCGCUUGUAUGUUAAAGGGGGAACCCGGUACGGGAUGGGCCCCGCGUCCAAUUAGCUAGUUGGUGAGGUAACGGCUCACCAAGGCGACGAUUGGUAGCCGAGCUGAGAGGUUGGUCGGCCACAUUGGGACUGAGACACGGCCCAGACUCCUACGGGAGGCAGCAGUAGGGAAUUUUGGACAAUGGGCGAAAGCCUGAUCCAGCCAUGCCGCGUGCAGGAUGAAGGCCUUCGGGUUGUAAACUGCUUUUGUACGGAACGAAAAGACUCUGGUUAAUACCUGGGGUCCAUGACGGUACCGUAAGAAUAAGCACCGGCUAACUACGUG